rnacentral:lncRNA from 1 species
UUUACUCUGCCCUGCCUUCCCUUUUCAAGGAAACCGUCAUCACGGCUGUGCCCCCAGCUUUCCCCUACCUCCUGUCUUCUGCCUCCUGAUCAUACCGGUGCUUCCCACGUGGCCCUGCAUGUGUGGUGGUGAGACUUGCUCUUGGAUGCUGUCAGGAAGUAUCAUCUGACUGCGUUUGGUACCCUGGGGGAGACAAGCAAAAACUUGAGUGAAGGAAAAUGAGAACUCACCUGAAAACAAGAAGAGUCUUUGGAAAAGGAUUUUUGUGUAGGUCAUCUGGAAAGUGUUUACUCUUAGCAGUUAUGCAUAACUAUAGUCUUAAGAACAAAGUGA